GACAGAGGGUGCAAACGUUGUUCGGAAUCACUGGGCGUAAAGCGCGUGUAGGCGGCUGCGCAAGUCGGGCGUGAAAUCCCGUGGCUCAACCACGGAAGUGCACCCGAAACUGCGUAGCUGGAGUCUCGGAGAGGAAGGUGGAAUGCUUGGUGUAGAGGUGAAAUUCGUAGAUAUCAAGCGGAACACCAGUGGCGAAGGCGACCUUCUGGACGAUGACUGACGCUGAGACGCGAAAGCGUGGGGAGCAAACAGG
rnacentral:rRNA from 2 species